rnacentral:rRNA from 1 species
UACGGGGGGAGCAAGCGUUGUUCGGAUUUACUGGGCGUAAAGGGCGCGUAGGCGGUCAGCACAAGUCAGUUGUGAAAUCUCCGGGCUUAACUCGGAACGGUCAACUGAUACUGUGCGACUAGAGUGCAGAAGGGGCAACUGGAAUUCUCGGUGUAGCGGUGAAAUGCGUAGAUAUCGAGAGGAACACCUGCGGCGAAGGCGGGUUGCUGGGCUGACACUGACGCUGAGGCGCGAAAGCCAGGGGAGCGAACGGGG